UACGUAGGGUGCGAGCGUUAAUCGGAAUUACUGGGCGUAAAGUGUGCGCAGGCGGCUUCGCAAGUCGAGUGUGAAAUCCCCGAGCUUAACUUGGGAAUUGCGCUCGAAACUACGGAGCUGGAGUGUGGCAGAGGAAGGUGGAAUUCCACGUGUAGCGGUGAAAUGCGUAGAGAUGUGGAGGAACACCGAUGGCGAAGGCAGCCUUCUGGGCCAACACUGACGCUCAUGCACGAAAGCGUGGGAGCAACAGG
rnacentral:rRNA from 1 species